rnacentral:rRNA from 1 species
CCUGAGAGGGUGAUCGGCCACAUUGGGACUGAGACACGGCCCAAACUCCUACGGGAGGCAGCAGUGGGGAAUAUUGGGCAAUGGAGGAAACUCUGACCCAGCAACGCCGCGUGGAGGAAGAAGGUUUUCGGAUCGUAAACUCCUGUCCUUGGAGACGAGUAGAAGACGGUAUCCAAGGAGGAAGCCCCGGCUAACUACGUGCCAGCAGCCGCGGUAAUACGUAGGGGGCAAGCGUUGUCCGGAAUAAUUGGGCGUAAAGGGCGCGUAGGCGGCUCGGUAAGUCUGGAGUGAAAGUCCUGCUUUUAAGGUGGGAAUUGCUUUGGAUACUGUCGGGCUUGAGUGCAGGAGAGGUUAGUGGAAUUCCCAGUGUAGCGGUGAAAUGCGUAGAGAUUGGGAGGAACACCAGUGGCGAAGGCGACUAACUGGACUGUAACUGACGCUGAGGCGCGAAAGUGUGGGGAGCAAACAGGAUUAGAUACCCUGGUAGUCCACACUGUAAACGAUGAAUGCUAGGUGUAGGGGGUAUCGACCCCUUCUGUGCCGCAGUCAACACAAUAAGCAUUCCGCCUGGGGAGUACGGCCGCAAGGUUGAAACUCAAAGGAAUUGACGGGGGCCCGCACAAGCAGCGGAGCAUGUGGUUUAAUUCGACGCAACGCGAAGAACCUUACCAGGUCUUGACAUCCACUUAAACUUACAGAGAUGUAAGGUGUGCUUGCACAAAGUGAGACAGGUGGUGCAUGGUUGUCGUCAGCUCGUGUCGUGAGAUGUUGGGUUAAGUCCCGCAACGAGCGCAACCCUU